GACCUCUUCAAAGUGCUAGCUCCUCACAAAGACCACGGGAUGGCUGAUUUGUCUUCUUCGACGAAUCACUUGGACACUUUCGAAAGGUGAAGUAGGGUGAUUGGGAGGAAGAAGAAGUGGAGAUGAGAACUCUUUCUCACUUCCUAGAACCCAAGGCCCAAACCCUAGAACCCUAGGUCUCACUUCACGGCCAAAUGAGGUCAGCCACCCUAAGAACCCACACCCA
rnacentral:lncRNA from 1 species